rfam:Triticum aestivum genome assembly, contig: Triticum_aestivum_CS42_TGACv1_scaffold_130669_2BL
CAAGUACUCCCUCCGUCCGAAAAUAGUUGUCACCAAAAUGGAUGAAAAGAGAUGUAUCUAGAACUAAAAUACAUCUAGAUACAUUCUCUUUUAUUCUUUUUAAUGACAACUAUUUUCGGACGGAGGGAGUAGUUU